UUGUAAAUGACAGAAGAGUCAAAUUGUUUUGAAAUAUAAAGAUAUUUGUUGAUUGGCUAACAUAACUGCAAACUUCAAACUUAUGGAAGCUUCAUAGUUAGUUGAUAAAAUGAAUCAGUUAUGUUAUAAAAAGGUUCUUUUCUUUAUUCACUAUGUCCCAUUUAUCACAGUGUUGGAUUUAUCUUAACCUGCUCUCUUAGCACUAGAAGGAUUGCUACCUGUAACAAUUCAGAGAAAGGACUCUUUCUAUGACUCUGGUAGACUUAAUUGAACGUGAUUAUCAGGUGAAAAUGGAAAUGCUAUAAAACGGUAUUGGCAAGGAAGAAUAUUUUUGUCUCUCAGGUGAUCCACUUGGCUACUUACUGCUACUCUAUUCCAACUGUGACAGUAAAUGAGAAAAUACAGGAACUCUGGCCUGAGAAAAGCAUAGGGAAGAGGUGAUCAGACAUUUUAGGGGUGAAGUUCUGGGCUACACAUCUAGGUAAGUCACUGAGACCAGUCAAGAUGUUAGUGGAAGAGGAACUGAGAAUAGAAUUGUGAGUGAAGGAAGAAGAAGAUAAGUAGAAGUUAAAAUUCUAAGAUCAGCUGAGUGGCAAAGGACAUGGUUUAUUCUUCUAAGCAUUCUCUUCUAACUUCCCCCAGAAAGAGGGUCCUAGAUGAACUGUUCCCGUGAUAUAGAUGAAGAAAUGGAUUCAAGCGGCAUAAAGGGUCGACUGAGGCAUCCACACUGAAUACUCCUACAUUUAUCUAAAACUUUCAGAUGAUGGGGAGCCUGAAUGGAAAUAUGGAAAAUGUGGCCACUUGAAACUAUUUCUAGAACCACUGAUCAGCCAUACAUUAUUAUGUAUUCUAUGGUAACACAUAGAUGCAUGAGGUAUACACAGUUACCUCAUGUGAAGGAGGGAAGCACUGAUUUUGAAGACUGAGGAAAAAAACGCAAGAGGUGAGCCUUCAUCAAUCCACAGCUUCAGCAAUGACAGAACUUCUGAAUUGAGUGGGAGCAGUGAUGUGAGUGACCCUGUGGAAUGCUCCUCACAGUGGGCUUCUAAAGAAAGCUCAGACUUUCCUGCACAAGU